rnacentral:rRNA from 1 species
ACGGCUCAGUAACACGUGGGUAACCUGCCUCAAAGAGGGGGAUAGCCUUCCGAAAGGAAGAUUAAUACCGCAUAAUCCAUUGAUUUCGCAUGGAAUCGAUGGUAAAGAUUUAUCGCUUUGAGAUGGACCCGCGGCGCAUUAGCUAGUUGGUGAGGUAACGGCUCACCAAGGCCACGAUGCGUAGCCGACCUGAGAGGGUGAUCGGCCACAUUGGAACUGAGAUACGGUCCAGACUCCUACGGGAGGCAGCAGUGGGGAAUAUUGCACAAUGGGCGGAAGCCUGAUGCAGCAACGCCGCGUGAGUGAUGAAGGUCUUCGGAUUGUAAAGCUCUGUCUUUGGGGACGAUAAUGACGGUACCCAAGGAGGAAGCCACGGCUAACUACGUGCCAGCAGCCGCGGUAAUACGUAGGUGGCAAGCGUUGUCCGGAUUUACUGGGCGUAAAGGGUGCGUAGGUGGAUAUUUAAGUCAGAUGUGAAACCCCUGGGCUCAACUCAGGGACUGCAUUUGAAACUGGAUAUCUGGAGUGCAGGAGAGGUAAGUGGAAUUCCUAGUGUAGCGGUGAGAUGCGUAGAGAUUAGGAAGAACACCAGUGGCGAAGGCGGCUUUCUGGACUGUAACUGACACUGAGGCAUGAAAGCGUGGGGAGCAAACAGGAUUAGAUACCCUGGUAGUCCACGCUGUAAACGAUGGGUACUAGGUGUGGGAGGUAUCGACUCCUUCCGUGCCGCAGUUAACACAAUAAGUACCCCGCCUGGGGAGUACGAUCGCAAGAUUAAAACUCAAAGGAAUUGGCGGGGGAGCAC